rnacentral:rRNA from 1 species
GAUGAACGCUGGCGGCGUGCCUAAUACAUGCAAGUCGCGCGAACGGACGAGAAGCUUGCUUCUCUGAUGUUAGCGGCGGACGGGUGAGUAACACGUGGAUAGCCUACCUAUAAGACUGGGAUAACUUCGGGAAACCGGAGCUAAUACCGGAUGAUAUUUUGAACCGCAUGGUUCAAAAGUGAAAGACGGUCUUGCUGUCACUUAUAGAUGGAUCCGCGCUGCAUUAGCUAGUUGGUAAGGUAACGGCUUACCAAGGCAACGAUGCAUAGCCGACCUGAGAGGGUGAUCGGCCACACUAGAACUGAGACACGGUCCAGACUCCUACAGGAGGCAGCAGUAGGGAAUCUUCCGCAAUGGGCGAAGGCCUGACGGAACAACGCCGCGUGAGUGAUGAAGGUCUUCGGAUCGGAAAACUCUGUUAUUAGGGAAGAACAUAUGUGUAAGUAAAUGUGCACAUCUUGACGGUACCUAAUCAGAAAGCCACGGCUAACUACGUG